rnacentral:rRNA from 1 species
AGUCUCUUGUUUUUUUAUUAGCGAUGUUUUCUGCUCAGUGUUAAUAAAUAGCCGCAGUAAUUUGACUGUGCAAAGGUAGCAUAAUCAUUUGCCUCAUAAUUGGGGGCUGGAAUGAACGGGAUUACGAGGGUUUAACUGUCUUUUACUUAUUACUAUAACUUGUAUUUGGUGUGAAGAUACACUAAUUUUUUAAUAAGACAAGAAGACCCUUUUGAGCUUUAUUUUAAUUUCUUUUUUUAUGUACUUUUAAUUUGGUUGGGGCGACCAAGGAAGAUACUUAAUUAAAACAAUCUUCCUUAAUUUUUUUAGAACCAUUAUUUUUGGUAUAUAGAUUUAGUUACCAAAGGGAUAACAGCGUAAUUUUUUUUGAGAGUUCUUAUUAAAAAUGAAGAUUGCGACCUCGAUGUUGACUUAUAGUUUCCUUUUGGUGCAGUAGCUAUUAGGGUAGGUCUGUUCGACCUUUAAUACUUU